CACCUCGGCCCACGGUACCGAGCUGAGCUCCUCCUGAGGAGAGGGGAUAGGGAAGCCUAGGGACCAGUAUUCCCCUUCACAUACGCACACCCUCCACCACUUUCUGAGCUACCUGUGAACUCCAGCCCUGGUGGCCUCCCUUCCCACCAUUGCGUUGCGUUGUGUCUUUUUCUAGGCCUUCUGCGAACAGAAGCUCUUCUCCAUUCUUUCUGCCCCUUCUCAAUUGUUCUGCUCAUCACUGCCACGCUGAGCCAUUAGUCAGUGAUACGCUUCCUGCUGACACCUCUUAAGGGACUGAGGCCUGGCUUCCUUUUUUGAGCCUUCUUCAGUUCCACACAUAAAAAGAAUGAGACAUCUUCUCCCAUCUCGCUGCUUUCUGCCUGGGCAGACUUAAGAACGGCAACAGCACUCACCUCCACCUCAAGGCCACUUUGUACAAUCACUUGAUUAGCUUUCACACCACCCUGCCUAUCUGCGUGGGAGGGGGGGAAAGAAUGCUCCCACACUUCAUUUGGACGGGCCCAUGUAAGCUGCAAGCCUCACUUUAGCCCAGACUCCCCAGUACAGUUAUUCCCUUAGGACCAGCCUCCACAGCUCCCCCCAGUAUCUUCCCCUCUGCUGGAGGAAAGAGAAAAGGAAGGGUAAGAGGGAAAGAGGAUGGGUUCCAUUGCCCCAGCAGUCUCCGUGCCUGGUGCCUCCCUACUCUAAAGGCUCAGGACAUCCAAGGGGAAGCAAGAUAUGGGGACCAAUAUCCUAACAAAAAAACCUUAAGGACAAAACUAGAAAGAACAUGACCAGGGGAUAGGGAAGAGACCAAGAGAGUGGCUUUCACUUCUGGUGCCCUAGAAGGAUCUAUUUCGGGCAAGCAAGCCCAGCUCUACAGCCGCAGGCAUCCACGUUUUCCUCACUUCCUGCCCAGAGGCUUGGGUGGCCCUCCCCUCACCCUGGCCUGACCUUCCUCGACCAAUCAGGAUGCCUCCUGAUCUAGAAAGCCCAGUGACAGCCCUUCCUAUAAACAGCCAUUGUUUUUACCACCCGCAUGUGACUGUAAGUCACUGUGUGACCCAUCGUGUGAAGCUUCCUUCACAUGGGUCAGAGCCAAGCUUACUAAGUGCCUGAACCUGCCUCCUGACACUACUCCAGGCCCAGGGCAGCUUCCGUCUCCCUGCUCUUCUCAGUUGGUCCUUCCAUGGCCCCACUCUGUCCUGUCCUGUACAGCAUGCUUACUGGGGGGAUAUGCAGGGCCUCCCUGUAAAACACCUGGAUGUCCCAGUAGCUGAAGAGAUUGCAGACCGAGCGCAGCAGCUGAAACAGCCAGAAGCCAGCAGCCAAGACUAGGAGGAAGACCAACAGAGGACUGCCAUGGAUCCUGCAAGAGUCUCCCACAGCUGUACAGCGGAGUUUUCCAGAAGCUACAAGACAAGCAAUGACGUCACAUCAUCCUGACAGCCCAUGCAGUGUGCACUUGUGCAUUCCUAAGUUUUAGAGUUGUCCCCAAGGCUAGGAAUGUGGCUGAGUAGUGCAGCACUUACCCAGCAUGCCCGAGGCCCUAGGCUUGCUCCCCAGCACCAAAAGUAAACAGUUGUCCUCACCAUUAUUAAUUUCUAAUAAGGUAAACAGAAAUGUGACCCAUAA